CGGGGGCAACCCGGGGCAAGCGGCCGAAGGCGAGCGCAGUGACUGGGGCGAAGUCGUAACAAGGUAGCCGUAGGGGAACCUGCGGCUGGAUCACCUCCUUAACGGAGUCGUGAGUAGAGUCGUUCGCACGCAAGUGCCGCAACACUCGAAAACACUCGACGUUAGUCGCUCGUCUCGACACUCGAUCUCAAGCCCGAUUUUCUCUUUGGCUGCGUUGCGGCGGACUCGAUCCGCCGCCGGCGUAGCUGUUUGUGAUCUUCGCUGUUUGACAACGGAUGAAAGCAGUGAUCGUGGGAUAGCCCACGUGAACGACAGUCGCGUUCGAUCGCCCGGCAACGGGCCGCUCGUCCGUGGACAUCGCUCGCGUGUGGCGAAUCGAGAAUCAACACACGUGACACAGUUUCGCGAUCGAUGGCAGUCCCGAGGUAACUCGAGGCGUGUCACCGAUUCGACAACGUAUCACUCGUUGACGCGUGGCGUUCGCCAUGAACGCCGCGCAGAAGAAGAAGUAGAUCGCGCGUGCUCUGCUUGACGGGAGGUUGUAGUCAAGCGAGCGAAGGCGUGUGGGGGAUACCUAGGCACACAGAGA
rnacentral:misc_RNA from 1 species